rnacentral:rRNA from 1 species
AGAGUUUGAUCCUGGCUCAGAUUGAACGCUGGCGGUAUGCUUAACACAUGCAAGUCGAACGGUAACAGCAGAGCUUGCUCUGGCUGACGAGUGGCGGACGGGUGCGUAACGCGUGGGAAUUUACCUUGUAGUGGGGGAUAGCCCGGAGAAAUCCGGAUUAAUACCGCAUAAUCUCUACGGAGCAAAGUGGGGGAUCUUCGGACCUCACGCUAUUAGAUGAGCCCGCGUUAGAUUAGCUUGUUGGUGGGGUAAUGGCUCACCAAGGCAACGAUCUAUAGCUGGUUUGAGAGGAUGAUCAGCCACACUGGGACUGAGACACGGCCCAGACUCCUACGGGAGGCAGCAGUGGGGAAUAUUGGACAAUGGGCGCAAGCCUGAUCCAGCAAUGCCGCGUGUGUGAAGAAGGCCUGAGGGUUGUAAAGCACUUUCGGUAGCGAGGAAAAGCUGCGUGUUAAUAGCACGUAGCUGUGACGUUAACUACAGAAGAAGCACCGCUAACU